rnacentral:rRNA from 1 species
UAUUUGACAAAAUUGGUGCCAGCAGUCGCGGUCAUACCAGUAAAUAAAAUAAAAAAUUUAGAAUACUUUUUAAUAAAAAUUAUAUUAUAUAGUAAAAUAUUAAUAGAAUUAAUACCUAAAAAUUUUAAUAGUAAAAUUCUGAUAUAAAACCAGGAUUAGAUACCCUGUUAUUAAAGAAUAUAAAAACAAAAUUCUAAGCACUAAAAUUUUUAUAAUUAAAACUUAAAAAUUAUGGCGGUAAACAUAAAUUUCAGGGGAACUUACCAGGUAAUUGAUAACCCACAAGUUACUCAACUUUAUUUUAUAGUUUAUAUAUUGUCGUGUAUGUUUUACUUAAAGUAAAACAUAUUAGGGAAAACCACAGAUCAUAAUAUAGCAAAUAAUUAAGUCUUAAGGUGAGUUACAAUAUUUUUUUUCGGAAAAUUCUAUAAAAAAGGAAUUUGAAGAUGGACUUGAAAGUAAUUAUAAAUAAUAAAUUUUGAAUUUUAAUAUGUUUGUGCACAAAUCGCCCGUCACUCUUUCUUUUUUAAGAAAGAAAAGUCGUAACAUAGUAGAUGUAGCGGAAGCUGUAUCUU